UUUUUUCUUCUUCUCUAAGGUUUCUUCUUCUUCUCUGCGAGUUCGACACACUCAAAUUGAAGCUCUCAAUCCACCGACGCGAAGCCCACAGAUCUACGGGAGGGUUUGCAUACAGAGAUUGCAUAUAGAGGUGGUGCAACGAGAAGGGGAACACCAUCUGCGAAAUAUGUCUCUAGAGAAAGCAUGAAAAUUCCAAGAAGAGAGCAAGGGCCGACUAAUCCAGGAUUAAGGAAAUUGAGCGAGUACUCGCAGUGCACGAUCGUUUUGUUGCAGAUAGAAGUGCUUCUUGCUGCCGAUCCUUGGCCCUAACAUUUACGGUCAUCUUGCUUGUGAGACAUUUCUUUGAUUUGCUUAAUGGUGGAACAGAAGAUUACCCCUUCACACUUCUUACAGUACUUAUUCUGAAGGUUAGUGGAAUUAUCCUGCCGAUGUUGAUAUUGAUGCGCAGUCACAGCAAUUCAAAAUAGCAUCAGAAGGCAUUAUGAGGAUUCCGAGUAUGACACCUCAAACCUGGGCGGGGAUAAUGAAGAAGAUGAAUAGCAGCACCAUGCGGUCUAAAAUCUAUUCCUAAUGUGUAUAAUAUGUACUCAGUUGAAUUUGCAUCAUAGCAUUAUAGCAGUGCUCACCUUUGUCAUAUAUCUCCCACUUUUUGGAGGUACAAGCGAAAAAGAAAAAGAUGGAUUCUUUAUUGAAAAACAAGUCAUUCUUUCCUUUGUACCAUCAAGUUAGGUAUGGUAUAUAACUGUCUU